rnacentral:rRNA from 1 species
UCGGUCCCUAUCUGCCGUGGGCGCUGGAGAAUUGAGGGGGGUUGCUCCUAGUACGAGAGGACCGGAGUGAACGCACCACUGGUGUUCGGGUUGUCAUGCCAAUGGCAUUGCCCGGUAGCUAAGUGCGGAAAAGAUAAGUGCUGAAAGCAUCUAAGCACGAAACUUGCCCCGAGAUGAGUUCUCCCUGACUCCCAGAGAGUCCUGAAGGGACGUUGAAGACGACGACGUUGAUAGGCCGGAUGUGUAAGUGCAGCGAUGCAUUGAGCUAACCGGUACUAAUGACCCGUGAGGCUUAACCU